rnacentral:rRNA from 1 species
CUCAUAGUUCGCAGAGNGGAGCCACUUAAAACUAUUUAUGGUGGUGUCACAAAAUCGGAGGCCACGACUGUUUACUAAAAACACAAUUCAGAGCAAUGAUGAGAAUCAUAGUAUUCUGGAUGANAAUUUGCCCGAUGCCAUUAACAUAAAAGAGGUAAUGGAAAACUGUCUACUAAUUGAAAGUCUGGUUAAUAGCCGGUCUUAACUAUGAGGAUCCUAAGGUAGCAAAAUCAGUUGGCCAUUAAAUGUGGUCUGGUAUCAAUAGUGUAACGAUGGUCUCACUGUCUCUACAACUUGCUCAGUGAAAUUGAAUUAUCCGUGCAGAUGCGGNCUGCCUCCA